AGAGCAUCACAGAGAAACCGCUCUCUAUCUUCGGAUACGGUGUUCGACUCGGACGAAUUCACAUCCCAACAUCAACCAGACAGGGGUCAGCGGACCAACGCAUACAACCUGGGAAAUUGGGGGAUUACAUUUUUAAAAAAUGGAUUCCUCUGGACAUUUCCUUCGUCGAAAGAAGACUUCAUCAAAUUGACUUCAUAGACACAGAAUCAUUACGCUGAAGAAGAGCCUAGAGGACUGGGAUGAAGGCCCCUGGUUGACUGGCCAAAGAGCCCCUCUUUCUCCAACCUGCAUCCAACUCACACAGACUGGCUGCGGUCUACAGACAAGACUGACACUAUGGUUCACACUAACCAUAGUAUCAAAGGACCACCCAUCAAAAAAUGUUCCGUGACCCCAAGAUACAAAACUGAAAAAAUGAAUGACAUUAUUUCGAUAAUGUUAUGAACAUGAACGCUGUCUGAUUCAUUAAAAAAAGUUCCGAUGUUUAUAAUAAUAAUAAUAUAUGCCAUUUAGCAGACGCUUUUAUCCAAAGCGACUUAAGCAUCAAUCCCUGCAUGUGUUGGGUGAUUUCCCUAGCAACGUUCUGACUACGGCAACAAGGUCUGUUUUUGUGGACACUUUCUCCGCACGUCCACUCCUGGCUGCAUGUUCUGCCAUAGAAAUAUAAUGAAUAGAACGUGCGUCACCAUUCCGUUCAUUGAUGGCAUAAUUGUUGGACUGGCGGCCAUUGAUAGUACCCAAUUUGUAAGUCGCUCUGGAUAAGAGCGUCUGCUAAAUGACUUAAAUGUAAUGUAAUGUAAUGUACCAAUGGGAGCAAAGCACAAAGAGUAAGCAGGAAGUAUACCAUCAAUAUGUGCUGUGAUUUGUUGAUU